rnacentral:rRNA from 1 species
AGUGAACGCUGGCGGUAGGCCUAACACAUGCAAGUCGAACGGCAGCACAGUAAGAGCUUGCUCUUACGGGUGGCGAGUGGCGGACGGGUGAGGAAUACAUCGGAAUCUACUUUUUCGUGGGGGAUAACGUAGGGAAACUUACGCUAAUACCGCAUACGACCUACGGGUGAAAGCAGGUGAUCUUCGGACCUUGCGCGAUUGAAUGAGCCGAUGUCGGAUUAGCUAGUUGGCGGGGUAAAGGCCCACCAAGGCGACGAUCCGUAGCUGGUCUGAGAGGAUGAUCAGCCACACUGGAACUGAGACAAGGUCCAGACUCCUACGGGAGGCAGCAGUGGGGAAUAUUGGACAAUGGGCGCAAGCCUGAUCCAGCCAUACCGCGUGGGUGAAGAAGGCCUUCGGGUUGUAAAGACCUUUUGUUGGGAAAGAAAAGCAGCAGGUUAAUACCCCGCUGUUCUGACGGUACCCAAAGAAUAAGCACAGGCUAACUUCGUG